CGUCAGGGGAAUGACGCAGGCGUGUGACGUAGCCUCAGGCUACUCCGGACCUUCUGCGGAUUCCAGAUGGAGGAUCGUCUUCCUCCUGACCAGCGCUGACCACAGAGAUGCAAUACAGACUAUGGCUUGGACCUGCGUUCAAAAUUAAGCUUCUCACUCAUUUUCUGCAAAACUGGACCAGCCACCCCAAAUUGCCCAUGCCCUCUGCACAGGAACAGUAGGUGUCGGUUUGGAGGCAGAGAAAUGGCAGGAGAAGAAAGAAAAUUCCAGUGUUUUCACUCAGUGAGAGAAGUAAGACUCCUUUUCACUCCCACACAAAUAUGUGGACUUUUGGAACACCUGUUAUUUUACAACUUCAGAAGUUCCCUGGAUGAAAUUUGAAACUGGCCCCGUACACAGAAAGGAGAGCCCCGAGAAAGGCAGACCACCCCAGAUUGGAUCUUAUCCAGGAUACUACAUUGUAUUCAGUCCUGUGUCUCCUUAGGCUCCUCUUCAUGGUGACGGUUCCUCAGGUAACAUUUGGCAUCUGUUGCUGAUACAUUCUAUAACUGGAGAAAGUUACGUGGAAGAGACAAAUCUUUUUUGAAAUAGGAUAAGGAGGAGCCCCUUUGUGAAAGCAGUAUUACAGCAUCUUUAAAAAUAGCAUUUUGAACUGAGAGAAGAGGACAAAACACCACUGUGGGAUGGUGAUUUGGCUAUAAAAAUCUUCUUUGAGCCAGAGGAUUGGUUUGUGACUAACUUUAUUCAGAUUUGCUCAUUUAAUAUUGGUAGUAUUUCAAGUAAAAAAAUAUGUUCUGUCUUCCAGAGGAUACUGUUAAUUCAUAAGAUGCUUAAGAGAUGCUGGUGAGGUUGAAGACAAAAGCAUACAGUGUAUUUCAGCGUGUCUGUCUGUCGUCUGACAUGGAAUGGGCUGUGGAAGUCCAGACUGUUAUUUGUGCAGGGUGCAGAAAGCUAUUGGACAUCAUCUUGAACAACUACACAGACUCUGGAGCCGUUGUAGUUUCAGUAGGGUGCUUAAGUAAGGAGUGAGGGAUGGAGAAGGACACUGGGGGGUGUGAGUAUUCUUUUUGCGCUCUUGCAUUUGGGUACCUAGGCAAUGCUCUAAGGCUGAUACAUUUAUGCAGUACCUUCUGUGUGUCAAAGCACUCUGCCAUAUAUCCGUCACUGUUAUCUAAUUGAAUCCUUCCAAUGGGCCUUUGAAGUAACUAAUCUCUCUGUAACCUGAAUUUCCCCCCAAGUCUUACCUGUCUGAGUGUACAGAAGAGGUUCUGUUAACACUAACAUCCAAAUUGCAGUGGCACUUAGCCCUCCCUGUGUGACAGCCGUCUUUACAGGAUCUCACCAUGCAUGUCUCAUGUAGCUUAAGAGCAAGGCCAUUUCUUUUCCUCCACUCUGAUUCUCACACUGGUGAGGUCAGCACCAAUCCUUUAGAAAUGCUGUCUCCAAGCUCUCCUGCCAAGCAGAGCUACCCUGGGUCUGCAGCUACCCUUGGAUUCCUCAGCAUAAAUCUGAAUUGGGAUCAGUGGCUGCAUAAGGUGCUGUGAGAGGGUUAUUGGAAUUCAGGGUAAAAGAUGGCUUUAUCCUUGGGACCCCUGGGUGGCUUAGUCUGUUAAGCGUGAACUUCAGCUCAGAUCAUGAUCUCUCGGUCUGUGGGUUCGAGCCCUGCGUCGGGCUCUGUGCUAACAGCUCAGAUUCUGCUUUGGAUUCUGUAUCUCCUUCUCUGUCUGCCCCUCCCCUCUUCACUCUCUGUCUCUGUCUUUCAAAAAUAAAUAAAACAUUUAAAAAAAACUUUAAAAGAUGGCUUAAUCCCCAUCUCUGUGCAGCACUUCUCUACCUGGACCUGAGGUUACAUUCAUUGUACCAUUGUUGCACACACACACACACACACACACACACACCCCUCACCUCACUAAUUAUUGCUCCAUCAGUUUCUUUUCUUCACUCCUCUUUCUGCUGGGGCUCAAAACAAAUCCCAAGUCCAUGUUAAAAGACAUAGAGACAAUUCCCCUUCACUCUCUUCAUCUUCCUUCUUUCAGGUAUCACAGCACACUCCUCCCCACCUAUCCCUCUUUCUUUAGAAACCCUUACAUGAUACCAACUUAUGACAGUAGACAUCUAAAGGGAUUGUGUAUCCAUCUGUUCCACACAGAUGGCCAGACUCUGAAACCCAUUUUGGAAUCAGCUGGAGAAACUGGCUAAAAGUCCCUGUGCAGCAUAUGAAACAUGGGCAGUGUAGACUCCAAAGGGCUGUGUUCUUCAAACAUUACAACGCUUCCCAACACACAGGCAUAGAACUUGCCUGGUUUCAGACUCAGUGUGCAUCAGAAGACUUGUCACCAAAAACCAUUCUCAACACCUAACAUAUAAUGAUUUUGAGGGAAAGAAAAAUAAGAAGUAUAGAAAGCGUAUUCUGAAUUUUACUACUUAAAAAGUUUGUGUUAUUUGAAAGAUAAUCAUGUGCAGGGGUACUAAGAGGCAUCAGCAUAAAACAAUAGUAUCCAAAGAACAAUGGGAUCUGUCUGAGGAAACUUCCCAUUUUCAUGACUUUUAAAGGAAGCAGUGAUUUAUUAUUUUCAGAAGUAUGAUUAUUUUUUAAUGUUUUUAAUUGUACUAUUUAUGCUAUACCGAACAAUGCACAUUAAUCUGCACAUUUUCGUUUGCUAAAACGUCUGAGCUUGCCUCACAACUCAACUCUCCUGAGUUUCAUGGAGGACAUUGAGGACUCCCCUGAUCUCUGGCCAAAACUCUGUGAUCAGUGCCUUACUCUGACACUCAUGACAGAGGUUCCAAAUGCAUUCACAGUAGACAGGGCUGCACCAGAUAGAACUUCCUUCUCUUCACUCCUUGCAAAAUGUUUGCAUUGCACUGUCACUCUUCCUCCCACUGUACUUAAUGUCCCUGACAAAACAUUAAGGCACCAGAAACCCCACUGUUUAAUAAUAAUACAGACUGUAAUAUUUUAUUGGUACUUUUAACUUUUAAGGCACUUUGCUCACACGAUCAUAUUUUAUGCUGAUAGCAGUCUUUUCAGAGGGCUGGAGCUGAAGUCACUAGCUGACUUGUACAUGCGACAGGGAAGAAAUGGUUGAGAGGCAUGCUGAGGACCAUCCACUUUGUGGGUGUCUUAUCUCUUUCAUCAGAAUCUGCUGGUUUUUUAACACAUAUGACCGGAGGCCUUGAUGUAAUGACUCUGGUCGUGUUUUGAUAAUUUUGAAAAGUCAUUAUGAAAAAAUUGAAAAUGAACUUUUAUUGAUUCACUUUUUCAUUUGUUCAUUAAAAAUAUUCAUAAACACUCAUUCAUGUCUAUAGAUUCAGCUAGGGGAAAAAAAUAGUCCAAAACUCCACUCUCACAGAGUUUAUAUUCUAGCAAGCAGAGAGUCCAUAAAUGAAACAAACAGGUAGUGUACAUAUUGUGCAACAUGCUAAGGAGACAAAGCAAGAAGCAGUUGGUGGUGGUGUGCAUUUCAGACAAGGUGCUCCCGGAUGGCUUCACUGAGAAGAUGACAUUUGUGUAAAGACCCAACAGAGAAAGACACUAAGAAGAUUAGGUUUAUAUAGUUUACUGUAUAACCCACAGCUUUUAAAUUACGUUCAUAUUUAUAACAUCAGUUCAACUCACCAGGGACAGUAUUACAGAUGAGGAAAUGAACCUCAAGGAUUUGCCCAAUAUCAUGGAACUGGUUAGAGUCUAAGCUGGAUCCAGAACUAAAAAAAAAAAAAAAAAAAAUCCCUGGUCACUGUUGUUUCCAUUAUACAAACUCUCCCUCUGUAAUUGAAGACAUAACAUCUUUUUUGGGUCCAUGGAAAAACAGGUUUAAUAGUGGAUUUUAAAAUUUUUAUUGUAAAACUGUUUAAAUUUAAAAGGCAGAAAUGAAAGUAUUUUAAGAUCUUUUAUCACACUGCAAUCAUAUUCAGUUACUCAUAUUUAGUACAACUAAUUGUUUUAGCAACUUUUCAUUUUGUCUACUUAAAUUCAAUUAAAUAAGUUAUAUUAAGUACCAGCUAUGUGGGCAGGAAAGUGUUCUGUUUUGUGAACAACAGAAUAGGAUUAAAAAGCCUAAAUGGUCAAAUGAGCCAUCAAGGAAUUCAUCCAACUAUAUUUUGCGAUUGUGACAAACUAGAUCCUGAAAUGCUAGUUCUUGGGGUCCUAGUUCUGGCUAUAUAGGACACAUAAUAUAAGCCCUCAUGAGGUGGUGCCUCAGUUCUGAUGUGCAAAAUCUCAGAAACAUGGGGAGGUAAUUGUUGCUAUUAACAUUUUUCUUAACAUAUUUGGAAAACUACACAAAGAUGCUCCUAAUCCCUCAGACCCGGAGGACAAAUAAUGAUACUUUGGGUAGAUAAAAAGUCUCAUUGAUUGCUGUUCUCAUUCUUAAGAUCAAAAAUGAGAAAUGUAGUUAUAGCUUUCUUUCCACAGCACUGAACAUUUAAUGCAGGUUUUCUUUUUUCAAGCUAAGUGAAUGGCCAAGUCCUACUGGACUUGUUUUACAUUGCUCAGAAUUUUAUGAGAGCCAAUAGGCAGCAACUUAGCAACAGUGUGCUAAAUUUCAGGAUGGCACCGUUUUCACCCUGCCUCCUCACCAGUCCUAUGGAGUAAUCGCCAGUAAACACAGGGGGUGAUAUUAGACUCCCAUAUUGCAGUCACAGUAGCUGCAAAAUGCAUUUUUCUCAGGCCCCUUUGAAACCGACCACUUCAUUAGGCAAUGGACAUGCUGGUCGACAUCAUCUCUGCCUCCUAUAGUUCUCAAACUCUCCAGGCUUGCCUCGCUCCCUCAUAAUAAAAUAAGCAAUUUUCUCUAACUAUGCUCACUGUUGCCCCUGUUUACUGAAUUAGAGUUUCCAGGUUUGGUAAUUGGUCUCCUGCAAAUGUUGCAGCCACAAGUGUUUCUUAUCACUCAGCUGCUGCUGUUCCCAUGGCAACAGAUGUGUUUACAUUCACAACGUUAUUCAACUUUUUUUCCACCUCUGCAAUUCAGUAAGAAUAAAAAUUGAUGUGUGAAAAGGAAAGAUAUUGCCAUAAAAAGGGACAGGAAAGAAAAAGGAUUUUUAAUUAUAGGAAUUAAUAAAAUAUUCAACACCUACAUACAUGUUUGAAUAUUUUAUUAAUAUCCAAAACGAAGCAUGUUUACUUUUAGAGGAAAGCAGUGAAAGCAGGGACUGGUGUCUUUGUGAGAUUUACUAAAUACUUUAAAAUCAGAAAUAAAUAUAU